AUUGAACGCUGGCGGAAUGCUUUACACAUGCAAGUCGAGCGGCAGCACGGGGGCAACCCUGGUGGCGAGCGGCGAACGGGUGAGUAACACAUCGGAACAUGCCCAGUCGUGGGGGAUAACACUUCGAAAGAAGUGCUAAUACCGCAUACGUCCUGAGGGAGAAAGCGGGGGAUCUUCGGACCUCGCGCGAUUGGAGUGGCCGAUGUCGGAUUAGCUAGUUGGUGGGGUAAAGGCCUACCAUGGCAACGAUCUGUAGCUGGUCUGAGAGGAUGAUCAGCCACACUGGGACCGAGACACGGCCCAGACUCCUACGGGAGGCAGCAGUGGGGAAUUUUGGACAAUGGGGGCAACCCUGAUCCAGCCAUUCCGCGUGAGUGAAGAAGGCCUUCGGGUUGUAAAGCUCUUUCGGCAGGAACGAAACGGCGAGCUCUAACAUAGCUUGCUAAUGACGGUACCUGAAGAAGAAGCACCGGCUAACUACGUGCCAGCAGCCGCUGUAAGAC
rnacentral:rRNA from 1 species